rnacentral:rRNA from 1 species
AACGAACGCUGGCGGCGUGCCUAACACAUGCAAGUCGGACGAGAAAGGGGCUUCGGCUUCGCGUCAAGUGGCGCACGGGUGAGUAACACGUGGGUAACCUGCCUCUAAGAUUGGGAUAACUCGUCGAAAGAUGAGCUAAUACCGAAUAAGACCACAGUUUCCGCGGGAACAGGGGUCAAAGGUAGCCUCUGCUUGCAAGCUAUCACUUAGAGAUGGGCCUGCGCACCAUUAGCUAGUUGGUAGGGUAACGGCCUACCAAGGCAAAGAUGGUUAGCUGGUCUGAGAGGAUGAUCAGCCACACUGGAACUGAGACACGGUCCAGACUCCUACGGGAGGCAGCAGUGGGGAAUAUUGCGCAAUGGGCGAAAGCUUGACGCAGCAACGCCGCGUGAGUGAUGAAGGCCUUCGGGUCGUAAAGCUCUGUCGGGAGGAACGAAUGCUCCUGAGGUUAACAGCCUCGGGAGGUGACGGUACCUUCAAAGGAAGCACCGGCUAACUCUGUG